rnacentral:rRNA from 1 species
AUUGAACGCUGGCGGCAGGCCUAACACAUGCAAGUCGAACGGUAACAGGAAGAAGCUUGCUUCUUUGCUGACGAGUGGCGGACGGGUGAGUAAUGUCUGGGAAACUGCCUGAUGGAGGGGGAUAACUACUGGAAACGGUAGCUAAUACCGCAUAACGUCGCAAGACCAAAGAGGGGGGCCUUCGGGCCUCUUGCCAUCGGAUGUGCCCAGAUGGGAUUAGCUAGUAGGUGGGGUAACGGCUCACCUAGGCGACGAUCCCUAGCUGGUCUGAGAGGAUGACCAGCCAUACUGGAACUGAGACACGGUCCAGACUCCUACGGGAGGCAGCAGUGGGGAAUAUUGCACAAUGGGCGCAAGCCUGAUGCAGCCAUGCCGCGUGUAUGAAGAAGGCCUUCGGGUUGUAAAGUACUUUCAGCGGGGAGGAAGGGAGUAAAGUUAAUACCUUUGCUCAUUGACGUUACCCGCAGAAGAAGCACCGGCUAACUCCGUG